CAUAUCUAGACCUAUAUCUAACAAGAUUCUAUGCUGCAGUCUUCCAUAACAAUAUGGUCAUCCAUUCAUGACUGUUUCCAACGACUGAUACUUAGUUAAUAUAUUCUGACAUAAUCUGCGUUUAUAGUUUAUUUGGGAAACACCCCGAGUCAUUUGACUAGUCGUCAGUACAUUGCCUUCGUGUUAGCGCAUCGGUCUUCAAAAGAACAACUCCCAUCUGAAGUUCAUCUAUAAGUCUUCGUGAAAUAUUCCAGUCUUUGAUGAGACAUCAAUAUAAAAGGAUUUAAAGAAGUGCUACUCACAAAGACAGUUCCCUCGUAUUAGAAACAAACUUUCAAAUCAAACAUUGGAACAGGCAAAUCUUUCCAAAAAUACAGAAAACGACGCCACUAAGCAGUAAUGGAGGACCUCAUUGUUUGAACUCUGUGUGUUACCAACAAAUGUAAGGCCAUAUUGAUAAACAACUGUGAGUCAAGUACAAUUCCAGUACAUUGGAAUAACAAAAGUUUUGAAAACACCAUAAAAGGUAAGUUUCUUUUUAUAAAUCAUAAUCUUAUUGGCCUGUUUGAUGUUUGCAUUUUGCUAGCGAUCAAUGCGUCACCAGAAUGCAAGGUCUGACAUUACGAUUUAACUGAAUAAAAGUAUAAAAACAUUGAUAUAAGUGAUAGCAGUCUAGGGUCUGAAUGGGCUGAACCGACUAGCGACAAAUGGACAAAAUAACAACUGACUAGCGACAAAUGGACAAAA